rnacentral:rRNA from 1 species
UGGGGAAUAUUGCACAAUGGGGGGAACCCUGAUGCAGCGACGCCGCGUGGGUGAAGAAGUAUUUCGGUAUGUAAAGCCCUGUCAGCAGGGAAGAAGAAUGACGGUACCUGACCAAGAAGCACCGGCUAAAUACGUGCCAGCAGCCGCGGUAAUACGUAUGGUGCAAGCGUUAUCCGGAUUUACUGGGUGUAAAGGGAGCGCAGGCGGCGCGUUAAGUCUGAUGUGAAAACCCGCGGCUCAACUGCGGGACUGCAUUGGAAACUGGCGCGCUUGAGUGCCGGAGAGGCAAGCGGAAUUCCUAGU